UAGAAUCCCCCCGACCCCAACGCGCCUUCUUCCGCCGGAGGCAAGCGUCGUGGGCGAGCGAGUGGAUCGGCCGCACCACUUCUCCCACCUUCCUUCCUCCACAGCGAGUGGAUCGGCCGCACCGACCACCGGCCUCACCAUCGCGCCGCCGCCCCGGCCGCCCAGCGCGCUGCCGCCCCAGCCACCGGCCGCCCAGCGCACCGCCGCCCCUUCCACCUGGGCGCCACCGCGCCGCCUCCUUCCUCCCUGCGCGCAGCGCCGCCCGGCCUCAUCCUCCCUGCCCCAACCUCCUCCCCUUCUCCAGCACGCCUCCACUUCUCGUCCGCCGGCGCGGCUCCACCUCCUCGUCCCGGCCGGCCAGGUGAUGCGCGUGCAUUAGUUCACGCGAGGCCCGGCCGCCAGGCACCCUUUCGCCAUCUGGCACGACGCCAUGGGUAAAUCCAGAGAUGGAGCUACCGGUUCCAGCAUCGGCACUUGUGACGUCAGUCCACGGACGUGCUUGACGCCGUCCACAACUCCAUCGCGCUCGAGCAGAUCAUCUUCCUCAAUGUUCCGGCCACGGCUCCCCACUGCCAAACACGAGAUCCCAACCGCUUCUUCUGUAAAAACUGAAGUUAUCUGAAACGUUGGCAGUCUACAAAUUAUAUUAUUGGUAGUAGCUGUUCAAUGUAUAUAUUAGAAGAAGUAAAAAAGGAAAACAGUGGUGCCCGUGCAUGAGGACAUGAGGUGGCACCACACAAAGCAGCAAUAAUAACACUGAAUGGGGCUUGUUGAUGGCAAGCAUAUCUGAAGACUUUGGUGAAGAAACACCACUACAGGUGGCACCACUACAUAUUUUGUCAGGCUCGCCUUUUCGAUGCGCAAAAUGAUGAGCGAUAAAGCUCUGGUCAGGAAACUUUUUGCAUGCGAGACAAUGGGUUCUGCAACAACAAUUUGCACUGACAAGACUGGAACAUUAACUUUAAAUCAGAAGGAAUUGAUCAGAAUACAUCUGUAAGCAUAUUUGAGCCGGAGGUCAGGCUAUACUUAUAAUUUACGUCACAUGCACUUUUUUAUCCAUGAAUCUGAACAUGUUUUUCUUCCUUUUAACAUGUUAUGGUUCAGCUGUGUGGCUUAAUGGUGGUGGAGGUCGUUCUGUAGACUGCCUCCAGUGCUCGUGCCACGGCAUUCACCGCCACCACUCUAGACCGUUCACCAUCGCCUGGCGAGUCCGUUCAACAACGGAGGGGGCGUCGUGCUGCGGGUGGACGUGGUGUUGCGAUGGGGUCCUCGAUAGUUAGGGCUCCUUCAUAGAGGAGCACAGGCGGCGGCUGGCAAAAAUGCAUGACACAGCGCUCCACUGGCCUUCCUCCUCUCGCUGGGAGGCUGUCAGCCUGUUGUUGACUCAUUUUGUGUGUGUUGGAAGAGAACUCACUCGUCCCAGCUGCUAAAUUUCUUGCAUCUGAGUGCACCACAAAAAGUGGCAAAAAGAAAUGGAUAAAAAAGGAGUUCUCACAUCACGUGACGUGCCAAAAAGAGUCCAAGCCUCACAACUCAAUGCGGGGUCAGACCAGAUGACCAACAUCUCUCCUGCUCAGUAUGACAAGGAUGUCAAUGAUAAUGAAAACCUCCCUCACAGUAGAGCGGCGGAGUGCAUCCUUGCCAUCUACAUUUCAGAGCCCCAUCAGUUCAGCGUGAUCUCUCCGGUAAGUUCUUGUAUUGCUAUAUCGAGUGUUCAGAAAGUGUAGAAUGGAUGAUUUAUCUUGCCUAUGCGGCUCACAAAUCAUAUGCUCUGUACAAAAAAUAAGAAACAAACACUAUGUGUAGGAGUUCAUGAUGUAAUUAAGGAUCCCGGCAUCACUCCACCACCACCUCCUACGUCCCCAAAAUAAGUGUCAACUUUUUUUUGAAAGUAAAUAAGUGUCAACUUUGUACUAGCUCUAGUACAAAUUUGUACUAAGCUCAAGACACUUAUUUUGGGACGGAGGGAGUAUUUAACAGCAAGUCCAUGAAUUACUAUAUGAGAAGUACAAAAAAUACUACUGCUGAGAGUUCAUUUAAAUCACGACGUCUGAAUUGGGGUCAACCCCUGCCACCAUGCUCCUACACGGCCGGACACCAUGCCUCCUUUCCCCCAAGUGAGCACCCCCCAUCUCCUUUCCACACCCCGUGGCAAGAGUUAGUUUGGUCAGAAAUUAUUUGCACUGAACCUGUACCUGUGAGAGUUGAAUUUUUGUUUUAAAAGUUUACCAUUAGAACAAUUUGAUGAACCGUGGGAGCUCAAUUAGCUGACAAAAAAUCAUUUGCUUAGUACCUAUAUGAUACCAGGAGGCACUGUUCUCUGUUAGGUUUGACCAAGAUACAACAGUUUGGAGCAUACAUCGUUUGCAUGCCUAUCUCUCCCAUUUUGCACAGUUUUCCUAAGUGACCUUAAGUUCAGUCGCAUCGGUAGGUGUAGGUGCAGAAAAAACAUUUGCAUCAGUUCAAAAAUGAAAUGCAAAAUAGUAUGAUGCGUAGUUUGAUGUGUGUGUUAAAAAAACAAUAAGCUUAUUGUUACAUUAAUUUCCAUGGUAAGAAAGGUUUACCUUAAAAGUAACAUCCAUAUAGGAAUAAUGUUUCUAUUUUAACACAUUUUCUUUGGAAAAAGAGCACUAGUACUGAUGACUCGUACUGACAAGGAUGCCGUCUACAAUUCUUAUGAGGUACUGACAAGGUCAUAAUUAUUGUGCAAAAUGGAAAAAACAAAUGUUUUAUAAAGAAACGAGCUUGAAGUUCAAUUACUAUGGUCUAAAAAAUUCAAUUACAUUGCUAGUGCAUUCAGAAUUGCUAAAUUUAAAAAAAUGAAGUUCCUGUUUCACGAUUAUGUAAGUUCAAAAUUAUUGUAUGAUGUGUGUGUCAUAGUUAUCUAAACUUCAAUUUUGACUAAUAUUCCAUUAUAGUACUACUGCAUAUUCACUUCUGAUUGCUUCUUGCUGCCACUAUUUUUAUCAUGAUUUUGUGUGUCCACCCAGGAGUGUUUUUGUUCCUGUAGGUCAGCUGCUCAACAACAGAAGCAUGUACCGCCCAGUACAUGUAUUACUAUUGCGAAGGUUCAAAAAUCUGGACUCAACAAGUUCAACGUUGAUGGUACUGUGCACAUGCGCUAAGCCGUUCUACAACAUAGCGCUAAGCCGUUCUAUGCUGCAGCUCGGGAGGUGAAGGAGCUCCCCUUGGGUUCAUCUUGCAAGUUUCGUUCAAACUUGGCCACCUAGGCUGUUCAACAGCAUCAGCAGAACCCGUUUAGUUGGUGGCGUUCCUGCAGCUGCAGAUGUGGUGCUGACAGUACUAGGCGUUGGUUGUGUUUGAUCAAAUGCCUAGGAGCUCCCAUGAUUUACACAUGGAAUCCAGAUGAUUAUGUUUCUUCAUCCCCCAAGUACUUCAAUGGUGGCUCCUUCCCGGUUGGCUCAAUUGCUGCUGGAUUUAGGUGGGUUGGCUCAAUUGCUGCUGGAUUUAGGUGGCCAAGUUUGAACGAAAAUUACUCAUUGACCGUAUGUCUAAUCGGUGUUUCUUUGUUUACAGAAAAACUAAUAUGUGAGGAUUAUCUCAGGUUUCUUUUUGAACUUGUAGUGUUACUGUACAUGAACUUGUGCAUUACCUUGUUAUCAAUUUAUGUGUAUGUGUGUUGGUAACCACGGCUACUAGCUACUAGUUACCGAUCUGACUAUUGUAUUAGUGCAGCUGCUCUAUGUAAUUAGCCCCUUGUUGGGUGAAUCUUGUACUAUUUGCUAGCUUUGGCAUUGUAAAAAUACAACAAGUUCAUAGCUAAAAAAGUUAUAAGUUCAACACAGCGUA